AUGAUGCUGCAAAAGUGCUGCACUCAAUAUGCAGGCGAAUUUGGAAAACUCAGCAGUGGCCACAGGACUGGAAAAGGUCAGCUUUCAUUCCAAUCCCAAAGAAAGGCAAUGCCAAAGAAUUACCGCACAAUUUCACUCAUCUCACACACUAGUAAAGUAAUGCUCAAAAUUCUCCAAGCCAGGCUUCAGCAAUACCAUGAACCCAUGAACUUCCAGAUGUUCAAGCUGGUUUUAGAAAAGGCAGAGGAACCAGAGAUCAAAUUGCCAACAUCUGCUGGAUCAUGGAAAAAGCAAGAGAGUUCCAGAAAAACAUCUACUUCUGCUUUAUUGACUAUGCCAAAGCCUCUGACUGUGUGGAUCACAAGAAACUGGAAAAUUCUGAAAGAGAUGAGAAUACCAGACCAGCUGACCUGCCUCUUGAGAAACCUAUAUGCAGGUCAGGAAGCAACAGUUAGAACUGGACAUGGAACAACAGACUGGUUCCAAAUAGGAAAAGGAGUACGUCAAGGCUGUAUAUUGUCACCCUGCUUAUUUAACUUCUAUGCAGAGUACAUCAUGAGAAAUGCAGGACUGGAAGAAACACAAGCUGGAAUCAGGAUUACCGGGAGAAAUAUCAAUAACCUCAGAUAUGCAGAUGACACCACCCUCAUGGCAGAAAGUGAAGAGGAACUGAAAAGCCUCUUGAUGAAAGUGAAAGAGGAGAGUGAAAAAGUUGGCUUAAAGCUCAACAUUCAGAAAACGAAGAUCAUGGCAUCUGGUCCAAUCACUUCAUUGCUAAUAGAUGGGGAAACAGUGGAAACGGUGUCAGACUUUAUUUUUCUGGGCUCCAAAAUCACUGCAGAUGGUGACUGCAGCCAUGAAAUUAAAAGACGCUUACUCCUUGGAAGAAAAGUUAUGACCAACCUAGAUAGCAUAUUGAAAAGCAGAGACAUUACUUUGCCAACAAAGGUCCGUCUAGUCAAGGCUAUGGUUUUUCCAGUAGUUAUGUAUGGAUGUGAGAGUUGGACCAUAAAGAAACCUGAGCGCUGA
rnacentral:lncRNA from 1 species